rnacentral:lncRNA from 1 species
GGAGUUUUGCAGUAACACUAACACUAGAUACAGAUACGUAAUUGAUGAUUACUAUACCUCAGAAGUGCUAAGAAAAUAAACCUUAAGUACUUUCUAAUGUUCAAAAAGUUUAAGAUAACUAAUUACACACCAAAAAUAUAGUUUGCAUAAACUUUCAGUCAUUGAGUUAUAUUUUUUACCUACCACCAAAACAUUAACCCCGUAGUAUCGCAUGACCAAAUUCAUUCACUUUUAAACUGUUUUCUUUGUCACCUUUGUUACAUUUUCAUUCUUGUCUCCAAACUCAAACUUGAUUGUAUCUCCCUUCUUUCAAUCUGUUUUCACAACAGAAUUUUUUACAGCAUCUUCCAAUUUUCAUUGAUUUCCUCUGCGAAUCAGCAGAUGACAAAUCUCUUAACUCAUUUAGCAUUCAUUAAAUUAUAGAGUUUGGAAUUUAGAUUCCCAUGAAAAAUCAGCAAAUUUUGGAGAAAAACUCUGAAUCCCAAAAUGAUAUCGGUUAUGCACAUAAUAAGUAAGUUGGAAAUUAUAAUUUCAGUAUGUUUAUGUUUUGAUUUUGCGAUAUGAUAACUUUAGUAAGUUGGAAAUGACCUUUUAGCCCUUGAUAAAAGUUAAACAGAAAGAGAACAAAAGGGUUUUUACCCAGAAGAGUGCAAGCUAUGAAUUAGAAGGUGUGAGUCCGACAAGUGCUGCGGUCCAAUAUCGUGUUUGAGUCUUUGAGACAGUGUUGACAGUUGCUUUGUUCUCGUCGGUGGUGCAAACGGGGAGAUCGUAGGUGUGUUGAAGACAUCGACAGUUUCUCAGCAUGUUUUCAGUGAUGAUUGCGGAGAAGGCUAAGAAAGCUGUAGAAGGAGGAUCUUCCCACUUCAAUUUAACAACAUUCGCUUUGCAAACACAAACAAAAUUCGUCUAGCUAAACCCCGUCCACGAGCACUUCCCGUUGGCACCAUAAAUGCAUAAUGCCUCCAAGUAAAACACAUGAACCUCAGGUUAAAACAACUAAAUAACUUAAUAGUAUUUUAAGUUGGAGAAAGCUGUUCCCAGUAACA